GACGAACCGUGCGAACGUUGUUCGGAAUCACUGGGUGUAAAGGGUGCGUAGGCGGCUUAUCAAGUCAGGGGUGAAAUCCGGCAGCUUAACUGUCGAAGUGCCCUUGAUACUGAUGAGCUCGAGGGAGAUAGGGGUGUGUGGAACUUCCGGUGGAGCGGUGAAAUGCGUUGAUAUCGGAAGGAACGCCGGUGGCGAAAGCGACACACUGGAUCUCUUCUGACGCUGAGGCGCG
rnacentral:rRNA from 1 species